GGCUGCCGAACACACAGGCUGUGUGUCUUCGUUUCUCACAGUCUGAAGGCAGAAGUCCAAGAUCAAGAUGAGACCUUAACUGGCUUCUGGUGGGAGACUGGGGUUUCUCUACAUAGUCCUGGAAGUCCCUGGAACGUAUGCAGACCAAGCUGUCCUGAAAGUCACAGAGAUUCACCUACCUCUGCCUCCUAAGUGCUGGGAUUAAAGGUGUGUAUAUCA